rnacentral:rRNA from 1 species
UACGAAGGGGGCGAGCGUUGUUCGGAUUUACUGGGCGUAAAGCGUGCGCAGGCGGUUGUGCAAGACAGAUGUGAAAUCCCCGGGCUUAACCUGGGAAUUGCAUUUGUGACUGCACGGCUAGAGUGUGUCAGAGGGAGGUAGAAUUCCACGUGUAGCAGUGAAAUGCGUAGAUAUGUGGAGGAAUACCGAUGGCGAAGGCAGCCUCCUGGGAUAACACUGACGCUCAUGCACGAAAGCGUGGGGAGCAAACAGG